rnacentral:lncRNA from 1 species
CAGAGAAAGCAUGCAAGACUCGAAGCUGCAGUCAGCCCUCCUGCUUCUGAUGGGUAUUUCCUUGGAAGACCACAGGGAUCCUGAGAUUUGAUGGGCCAGGAAUCUGCAUUGCCAGAUGACGGCAAGAGUAACCCCAUGGUGCCGUACAGCUCGAUCCUGGAGCCCGGACGUGGAGGAGAAGCAGGGGAAGGGAGACACAGCCGGAGUGAAGGAGGGACGCCUGGAAGAAAAGAGAAGUUUUGGAUUGCUUUGUUCUAGUUUACACACAGAAAUAUUUCUAAAAGCCRCCAUUCAAGAGCUUGUCCAACUCCAGGACCUGCUGCAGCACUGGAAAAAUCAGACCUACCAUCCGCAGGGACGGGAGCCCCCGGGACACAUCCCUGGCUCUGCUCACCCCAGAGAGCUGCAAACUUCUGACUUCACCUCCUCCUUAGGAAGAGGCAGGAAGAGGUGCAUACCCUGUUUUUGGAAACCCUGUGCCCCAUCUCCCCUCUGGAGGAGGGUCCUGAUCCCAGCGCGUGGCCAGACUGUGUGGCAGAGGCCAGGGGCACCCCCAGCCCCAAAGCCUCCAGGCGGCAAGGCAAAAGGAGAGAUGAGGAGCAGCCACRGGGCCAGGCCAGCUGCCGUGCCCCAGCACACCUUCCUGCAGGGAAUCCUGGCUCCCCCCCGCUUCGUUGUGGGAGUCUGUGUGCAUGUGUUGAAGAUGUUUUGUAGCUGGUCCAGGGGCUGGAGUUGUGCUUGAUGCAGGUUACUGACUAUGCCACAAAAAGUAAUUGUGUUUCACCGCUGGCCUGGUGAUGCAAYGCUGUCCUGUUCAGCCAGGCCUUGCACCAGGGAGUUCGAAGCAGCCCCUCCGCCAGCAAUGCUUGCAGCAUCCCUCCUAGCGAGGCAAGCGGGCUAUCCGCUUUACGGGGCAUGUCAGCAAAAUGAAAUGCAAGCAGUCGUGAACCUAAAUCAGUACCUCAGUCCAUGCUAUAAGUCAUUUUAAGACCUGACUCUCACCACUUGACCACUGGCUAAUUUUUCUGGUUAUAAAUGAUGUAUUUUCCUGUCGUGGAUGAGGAAGCUCUAAAGACGGGGAAGGGCAUGCUAAGGGCAGGGAGAAGCAAGAAGCUGCAUGUGAGGUUCUGCAAACCCUUCCACAUUUGUGUGGCUUUCCCCAGCUUCAUUGAUUUUGAGCAGAAGCAAGUCUAGAUGAGAAGCAGCGAGUCUGCAGUACACCAGCAAAUACACCAAGUCAACAAAUGGCGCUAGCGAUGAGUGCUCUUUUUGCCUGAUCUCUUCACAUUCUGGCAAUCAUCAGUGUUGCCUGGAGGAAUAUCACACUCUGAAUAACCAUAAUACACUGGAAAUCUCAGGCAUCUGCUGUGGUUUCUAGGCUGGCUUGCCAAAGUAUCAGCCCCUAGUGCCAUAUUYGGAAACUCUGUAGUGCCCACCUCUGCAGCACGCCAUCUGAGCAGGAAUGUUGUCUUUCCUGGUACUGUAACAUUUGAUACAGGGAUUUUGGGGCCAAUCAUCACGUGCUGUCUCCUAGGUCAAAGCCGUGUGGAGUUCAAGUGGGCUCAGUGUUAAACUUUGCUGGGCUGGAAACCUCGAGAGCUGCCUGGACGGGGGGCAGCAAGCAUGCCUUGCCAAGCCUGUGGCUGAUGCGUCCRUGACCAGGGAGUGAUUUAUGCCGUGGGUUGACAGCAGUGACUGACCUGUAAUUUUGCAAACAUCUGUUCCCACUUUUGACUUCACCA